UUUUGAAAGACCGUCUUUGGUAUGUGUUCUCAAUCGUCUUAUGUAAAGAUAUUUUGUAUAUAGUCUCCAUUAGAUAAAAAGAGUAGGGGAGGGUUUUAAGCUAUUGUAUAGCGGCGGCGGGCAUUGAGCGUGGCGACCGAAUCAAGAAAUUCCGUAACUAAAAUAAAACCUUACACUCCCCGAGCCACUCCGCCUACCAUGUAGCUCGCUUUCAAUACAGUCACACGUUGCGCUUGUGUAGUGUUUGUGAAUAAGCGCGCGGCGUGACGUCGCACUGCAUGCGCAUCAUGAAAGUCUGCCCAUCUCCCUCUCACGCGGUUUAGCUUAUGAGUGUAAAGGGGACAGUUAGUGUUUUGCUGGUGUUAAUGUUUAUAAAUAUAGCGUGGUCUUAUUUUAUUAUUGUUUUAAUAUUAAAUUAUUAUUGUCUAAUAUUAUAAUUGCAUAAGUUCAUAAAAAAUGCUAUGCAAUAGCUUUACCGCGGUAGUUUCCGAGUGCAAAACGUGUUUUUUUUAAAGUAAAAAAAAUUGUAACAAUUAUCGCAGGUGAGUUUAAAAUUUUAUGUUGUGGAUGCUAUUACAUUAUUUAAACAUAUAUUAAUAAGUGUAGUAAGAGAAUAUAGGGAAGGAGUGCAGAAUACUAUUUUUAUUUUAAUUAUGCGCAAAAAAUACAUUAAAUCCAUAAAAAAAACAUUACACACAAUACCAUGUAUUUGAUACCCACACGCUUUUUUUUUCCUACCUAAGCUGGUAGCCUAGAGAGGCUAUUCCAGCGGAAUUGCUCACGGGGCUCAAACCUGACGACGAUGCUAACACGAACCCUAGCAAGAGUCGUGCUUCGCUGAAUCUACCACCGGAUCGGAAACGCGACCCACUGAGAAGAUCCGGCGAGAAACUCAGUGGGCUGUGUCUGAAAGUUAAUUUACUCGUCGAGCCCUUCGUUGCAAGCGACGGGUUCGACGAGAACGAUGACCGGCAUAGACAGCCGCAACCCGCCUUGACACGUGAAGUCUAUGCUGCAACUUUUCGGGUUUGAUUUUUGUUACACAAAGCUAUUUUUUCACCGGGGAAGUCAUUCGUGAAUAUAACUUAAGUGCGUAGGUAUAAUGUAAUGUUUCGGUAGAAGAAUCGGUGCCUACUGGAUUUGAACCCUGACACAGUUGCAUCGCUCGAGGCGAGUACAUCAAGAGUUUUAGUCUUUAGGCCAACUCAAGGAUACCUCUGUGCUUAGUGCGAGUCUUAGAACAGCCCUCUAGCGGCAAACGUAAGCAAACGAUCCCAUUCCAUACAAAUAUAAGCUAACUUUUACGCUAUCGAGAACGUUAAAAAACUCAUACUAAGCACACUUGUGACAAAAAAGAGUCGGGCUUCGCAACCCCAUGAUCAGUACUCUAGAUAAGAAUCGGGACGGAGUAGAUAGUCUUAGUGAUGUUACGAAGGACGGAUUAUGGGGAAAUAAGCACUAGGUAUGUCUAUAGAGCAGUCUAAGGAACAAGCACUAGGGAUACCUACCUAUAUCUCGUGAUAUAUAUCAAUCACUAUAUAUGUAUAAUGAUUAUGUCCUACGGACUUACGAAACUCAUUCUAUUUUCCAUUAAAAUCCUAUUUAUUUUUAUAUAAUACUAGCUGACCCGGCAAACGUUGUCUUGCAUUAUAUAAGAUUUCUAGAGAAUUUCUUGUGUAGAAAAAAAAUUACUAACUUAUUUGAAGUGUAUAAGGAUGUGGAAUAUGAGUGAAAAAAGGCCUGGAGCGCUGUGAACGAUGAGGGAAUGUUGUUUAAAAAUAACAAAACACCAAACAUUAAUUGUUUUAAUUUAUUAAAAGUAAUAGUUACAUAUAUAAUUAAUUCAUUACAUAAUAUUAAUCUCCUAAUGCUGCAGCGUGAACAAUAUUUUUUGUUAGCCCGUCUUUAGCUAAUACAAACAAACUUGAUGGUUUACCUAAUACAUUUAUAUGAUACCAAGUCCCCUGGCAAUAAUUGUUGUAUCUUCAGAUUUAAAAUGUCAACGUCCACAUGUUUUGCAGCUAACAUUGCUCUUUCUGCAAGCCACUCGAGAUUUAUGUAAUUCGUGUGUACAUCGGGAAAUAUUUAUUCAAUGAGAGCAUCUUGCGAAUCAAUGAUAGUGCAGAAAUCAUUCGCUAAUUUUAUGUAUUCAGUUUCAGCUAUAGUGACUUUUCCAUCGCCGAUAUCUAAGAGUUGUUUUGAGAAUGUUUCAUCGGAUGGAUCUUGAAGCAUUUGAACGCGCAUAUUUACUUUCAGCUGUACUAUUUCAACAUUAUGCCACAAUGUCGAUGAUUUUAAGUAGGCGUUGAUUUCAUCGCGUAUGUUGAACGUGGAAUGACGGGAAGUGUUUGUCUGAAGUCACCUGAAAGGACUAACCGAGUGCCACCAAAUAGUUUGUCGUUGUUUUUAAUAUCUUUCAAUGUCCUGUUCAACGCCUCAAGCGAAUGUUUGUGUGUGUACAUUCAUAUUUUCCACUCUAAGCACCGCCAUCUCACUGCCUUUAUGGACAUAAUUGCAAAUGUAUUUGAUGCUCUUCACAGAACUGCAGAACUCAACAUUAAUAUGAGCAUUGUAUGUUUUGCUCAGCAGGGGCGAAUAUGGCACGACCUAACAAUUGUCAAUAUCAAUGUCUGUGUUGCUGAUGUUUUUAAUAAAUGAUUGUCCGCCAUUAUCUGGAUUCCUUCGACGAUAUAUUGGAUAUCCGUUGACAUUUGUGAUUGUAUCUUUAGUGAAAUCUUUAGGGAAAUUUUUUGUACAUUUUUCAUCUGACAUGCAAGGCGAUGAACUAAAAAUGUUUAACUACUACGCUUGAAGCAUAAACACUAAUAAUAGCCGAAAACUGUAGAGGUAACAUCCCUACUCCGUGCUGUUUACAGGGUGAGAAGUGACACCGGUAGACACAUGGAGGGGAUAACUUACCAAGUGAUAAUAAUUGAUGUUAUCGAGCGGGAUAGAAAAUGAUUAAAUUAUUAAAAUGGCUAUUAAAAAAUAAGGGUUGAUCGUAGAAGGGUGAAAAUUGAGGAUUAUAUGUAUUUUUGUAUGUUGUAUCAUAAAAAAAUAGAAAUUAAAAAUUUUGUCUAAAAAAUAAAAAAUAAAAUUUAGGGGUGGACUACCCCUAACAUUUAGGGGAAUGAAAAAUAGAUGUUGGCCGAUUCUCAUAGAUACCGGAUAAGCACAAAAAAUUUCAUCAAAAUCGGUCAAGCCGUUUCGGAGGAGUAUGGCAACGAAAACUGUGACACGAGAAUUUUAUAUAUUAGAUAAAUAAUUAACUGUCAAGUUAAAUAAUCAAUUUAAAUCAAAUGAACAUAAUAUUAAUUUGAUAAUAUAAUUUAUUGAUUAAUUCAUAAAUUUAUGUCGUUAUCAUAAAACCCUGUUUAUUGAUGGAUAUCUAUCUUAGCCGGUUUAUGCUACAGAAAAUUAAAAAAUAAUAAAUGAGCUUAUAUUUUCUUCAUAUUGAAUGAAAAUUAAAAAUUAAGUAGGUUAUUCUCAUUAUUAUAUACCUAAUACCUAUUUUAAAGUCUUGGAUCAGUGUUCGAUGGAAGUGGACAAAAAGGAAUUAAUCAAUUUAAGCAAGAGUUAGACUUUACUGUUACUCAAGACGGGUGACUGCUUUCAUGCUCUUUGUUUAUAGGUUUUCUCCUAGGUUCAUUGGUCUUAUAUUUAGAUACGAUGCUUGAAUAAAAAAAAAACUACCAUACAGCAUAACGAUAAUGUAGAAAAACUCAUUGUGAUGACGAGAAAAAAUCGCGCGGCCUUGGAGAGGUUUGAUGUAAGAACUUAUUAAAGAAGAUGGAAGAAUGAGGUUAUCAGGUACCAUCAGACUGCUAACGUAUAAUCAAAAGGUUCUUGCGAGACUAUUUUAUUUUAAUAACGAACUAUGGUGUUCUAAGAGUUCAGUUAAGGAAGAGAAUGUAAAAGGACAAGUCUGUAGAUUUGAAUUUGCCGGUUCCCAUCAGGGCUAUGAAUGAGUUGGUAGCAGUACUAAGAGAUUAUUUCAUCUUUCGAUCUAUGUGCUUAGUGCGAGUUUUUUAACGUUCUCGUUCGCGUAAAAGUUAAUUCAAAUUUGUAUGGAGUUGGAGCGUUUGCCGCUAUGGGCGCCGUUUCAAAUGCAUACAAAUUUGAGUUAACUUUUACGCUAUCGAGAACGUUAAAAUACUCGCACUAAGCACACUGUAUGUAAAUGACUUUCGAAAUGAAGUUUCGGUAAAGCAAUCAUACGGAUUUCGAUAUCAGCGCGCCCGGGGUCACAGGUCUCACAUUUGUCUCGAACUUUGCAUAAUAAUAAUUAAACUGGCAAAUGAUAUACACAGAACGAGUUCAACAUUUUCCUUAUAAUAUAUCAUAACAAACUACUGUUUGUUUCUGUACUGUUAAAGAAAUUAAAGAUUAGGAGAUAACGUGCAAAAAAAAUAAUACAAAUUCAAAAUUAUAUUAUAAAUUAAUAAAUACACAUUAAUAUUAUUUCUCUUGGAAAAUUAAUCAAAAACUCUUUUACUUAAACUAUGUAAAAUGAAAAUUCUACAGGAGUUUAUUGUGUUCCAUUACGGCUUUAAUAAAUUUAUUAUUUUAUUUAAUUUAUAAAAUUCUAAUUUUAAUCGGAGUUUUUUUUUCUCACUUGUAUGAAAUGUCAAAGUCUCAUAGUAACUGCUUAUGUCAAAAUAAUGUCAAGGUUCCACGAAUACAUUUUAAAAAAUCAAUCAAUUGAUGUUUUUUUCGUUUUGUGCAAAAUAACAAUUAAAUUAAAUAUUUGGACGAGAAUUUGAAACGGUUAUUUAACUACAAACUAAAACAAAAUGAGAAUUGCAAAAUAAACAAAAUAUAGCUCACAGAUGUCCACUGCUGGACAUAUGUCUCGUAACAACGACCGGUCCUGCGGUGUCUGCAUCCAGCGUAUAAAUGAAGAAAAACGUGAUUAUUUUAUAAACGAUUAAUUUAUAAUAACUCAAAACAUGUAUUUGAUAGCUAAAUACCAAACUAAAUGAUUUAUUAUUGUACUUAAUAAAUAGGUAUUAUAUUA